ensembl:snRNA U6 U6 spliceosomal RNA
GAGCUCUGGCUUCAGCAUAUAUACUAAAAUUGGAAUGAUACAGGGAAGAUUAACAUGGCCCCUGUGCAAGGAAGACAUGCAAAUUUGUGAAGCAUUCCAUAUUUUU